ACCAUUUCUUUUCCAAAAUAAAUCAAUAUACCAUUCGUGGAAUAAUUCUUUAUAAAUUCAAUGAGACGAUGGAGUGUAUGGUCUUUACAUCUACCAUGUAAUCCAUGGGGUCAACGCAGACAUGAUGCUGUCAUAUGAUUAACAAGUGGCUGCACUACCGCAACAGCUAGCAAACUAAGACCGUUUCAGGUUUUUUAGAAAACGACUACCGCUAUAAAUAUGAAAGCCCGGCAGCAUCCUUAUGUCUCAGCUUCCUUCAACAGAUCACAAACCACAAAAAUAGCAGAAGAAGACCACAACCCACCCACACACACACACACAAAAAAAAAAAAAAAAAAGCAGUCAAAACUUGUUCUUAUUAUUAAAGAAGAAGUGAGCGAAAACAUUUCCAUGAAAAAUCAUCAAAGCUCAUCGGUUUUGGCGUCGGCCACCAAAUACUGCAGCCAAGUUGGUUUGAUAAAAACAAAUAAAGGCGGAAUUAGCAUAGGGCAAAAAGGUUCCAAGGGAGGGUCAGAUCCAAUUAUAUUGAGGUUGGGAUUUCAGGGAGAAGUGGAGGGAUCAACGCCCAAGCUCCAGCGGUUUAAGAUCAGAACUGUCGCAACAGGUCAGGUUGUUGUGAAGGAUGAGGACACAAGUAAAUCCUAAAACGACACAACACCUGUUGAUUCGCAUUUCUACUUCUUUUUACCUUUUUUUUUAAAAAAUAUAUGUAAUUGAUUUCUCCAAAAAUUAGAGACCACAAGACGUUGGCAUCAAAUGGGGAUUAGUUUGUGAUACGCAAGGUAAUCAAACAGCUAAGAGAGCACAAGCUUAAAAGAUGAAGUUUUAGCUGUGCUAAUUUGUGUAUGUUUAUAAUUCAUUCACAGAAAAGCAACAUGCUGCUACAUAUAUUCAGUAUUACAUGCAAACCACAUACAAUCAAAUAAACAUUAGGGUUGUCUAGUUUGCGAAAUUUUAGAUUACGAACAUGAAUAAGAUUACAAUAAUGUAAGAUUAUAGGUAGAAUGUUAGAUUAUUUUAUUUGGUUCAUUUGGCUAAAAUGUAAGAUUCAGUUGUUUGAUUGACAAAAUGUAAGAUUACUUAGAAGCACAUUUUACUCAAUUGUCUUUACUAUAUAAUUCAUUUAUUUUAACAAGUUUAGUUCCUUUAA